UAGCUCCUCAUCUUUGUGUCCACGCCAAUUAGGGCCAAAACCCCUAAUUUGGAAACCACACAAAAAUCAUAUAGAAAUGUUGAGAGAGAAGCUGCAAGUUUUGAUUUCUCUCUUCUUGGUCUCUUGGGCUUCCAUCUCGUUGAUUUGCUUGCUAGGUUGGGUUUGUUGAUCACUUCUUCUCGUCCACACAUCAUUGUAGGGUAUAUCCAAAGGUUGGAUCUUGCACUUCUUAUUAGGGGCAAGGGACGAGCGGGCUUCAGAAUAAGAAAUUCCUUCUAAUAGCAGAUCGACGAAUAAAGAUGUGCAUACCACUGCAGUGGGCAUGUUAUGAUGAUAAACCGGACGCGGGAUGCCCCGGACGUGGGAUGCCCCGGACGCUGGAUGAUGAUAUGACGAUGAUACGAUGAAGAUGCUAUUGUAUGUAUAUAAUUGCAUAUGUUUUCGAACUCAUGCAUUGCAUAUUGUACGUUCUUAGAUGGAUCGGCUUACUUCUAUCAUGUUCAUACUUAUGUAUUACUUAUGAUAUUGUUUCCUGCCUUACAUACUUAGUGCUUUUAUCCGUACUGAAGUCCUAUCCUACGGAACGCUGCAUUUCGUGCUACAUGUCCUGAUAGAUUCACUGAGGGGCAGCCACAGUAGGACGUCCAGCUUCAGCGGGUGUCCGCAAGUGCCAUUACUCCGGACUUGCUAUAUUCGAUUUACUUAUGUGGUCAUGAUAUAUGUGCAUAUGCUAUGGGUACGUCGGGGCCCUGUCUCGACCUUUACGCUUUUGUAUGUACACUCUUAGAGGCUCAUAGAGGCUCAUAGACAUAGUGAAAUAUGUACAUAUUACGUUUUUCCUUGUUGGCUAUGGUAUGAUUUGAUACUCUUUUGAUA